rnacentral:rRNA from 1 species
UACGAAGGUUGCGAGCGUUGUUCGGAAUCACUGGGCUUAAAGCGCAUGUAGGCGGUCCACCAAGUGCCUCGUGAAAUCCCCCGGCUCAACCGGGGAAUGGCUUGGUAGACUGUUGGACUUGAGGCAGGUAGGGGCGCGUGGAACUCUUGGUGGAGCGGUGGAAUGCGUAGAUAUCAAGAGGAACGCCGGUGGCGAAAGCGACGCGCUGGGCCUGUCCUGACGCUGAGAUGCGAAAGCCAGGGGAGCAAACGGGAUUAGAUACCCCGGUAGUCCUGGCCCUAAACGAUGUCAACUAGGUCGGAGUCACUCUGACGUGUUUCUGGCCGAAACAAAAGCGUUAAGUUGACCGCCUGGGGAGUACGGUCGCAAGGCUAAAACUCAAAG